rnacentral:rRNA from 1 species
GGGGAACACCGUUGGCGAAGGCCGCUUUCUUGGCCCAAUUUGGACGCUGAAGGAGCGAAAGCCAAGGGGACCAAACCGGGAUUAAAUACCCCCGUUAGUCUGGGCCUUAAACGAUGAUGGCUUGGUUGGCCGGGUAUCGAUCCCUGCCGUGCCGAAGGUAACGCAUUAACCAUUCCGCCUGGGGAGUACGUUCGCAAGGCUGAAACUCAAAGGAAUUGACGGGGGCCCGCACAAGCGGUGGAGCAUGUGGUUCAAUUCGACGCAACGCGAAGAACCUUACCCAGGCUUGAACAGCGAGUGACCAUUCCCGAAAGGGAACUUCCGCAAGGACACUCGUAGAGGUGCUGCAUGGCUGUCGUCAGCUCGUGUCGUGAGAUGUUGGGUUAAGUCCCGCAACGAGCGCAACCCUUAUCUUAUGUUGCCAGCACUUCGGGUGGGAACUCUAAGGAGACUGCCGGUGACAAACCGGAGGAAGGUGGGGAUGACGUCAAGUCAUCAUGGCCCUUACGGCCAGGGCUACACACGUACUACAAUGGGAGGUACAGAGGGAAGCGAAGCCGCGAGGUGAAGCCAAUCCCAGAAAACCUCUCUCAGUCCGGAUCGGAGUCUGCAACUCGACUCCGUGAAGUCGGAAUCGCUAGUAAUCGCGAAUCAGCAUUGUCGCGGUGAAUACGUUCCCGGGCCUUGUACACACCGCCCGUCACACCAUGGGAGUUGGUUGCUCCAGAAGUAGGUAGUCUAACCGCAAGGGGGACGCUUACCACGGAGUGGUCAAUGACUGGGGUGAAGUCGUAACAAGGUAAAUCGAAUUCCCGCGGCC